rnacentral:tRNA from 1 species
AAAGGUAGAGCUCAAUGGUAGAGCGCAUGCUUGCUUAGCAUCCAUGAGGUCCUGGGUUCAAUCCCCAGUACCCCCA